ensembl:lncRNA
UGGCCCUAAAGCGGAGCCUUGGAGAGCCCUACCAGUGGCCAGCUGCCAGCCUGAUGUAAUCCCAUCUACUAUAAUGCCUUGAGUCCAACCCAUCAGCCAGUUGUUUACCUAUUGUACCUUUAUAGCUGUAUGCUGCACAUUUUGUCCAAAAGGAUAUCCUGAGAGGGAAGCUCUCCUGAAGAAUUGCACUUCUCUGCAGAAGUAAAUACACAUGGGUUUUGGGAAGAGAAUCAAGAUCUCUCAUACAUUAGGCAACUGCCAUAACUGCUAAUCUUGGUCUCCUGUGAUAUACAAGAAGUCUAACAUGGCCAUACCAGAAGCUCUUUGCCAUUCGGAGGGAAUCAGCAAAUGAAAGAAGUCUGGGACUGGACUGGUAGAUUAGCUGUUAAUUUGCAACUCCUUUUCUUAGACUUGCCUCUGCACGGGGACACUUAUACCUCAGUAGAAUUCAUUCUUUUCUAAUCACUUCAUAUCUAUCAGAAGCAAAGAAGGAUCAGAAACUAAAGGCUGCUAUCCCUUUUAUAUUAUUAUUCAUGAGUUGUGAGUCUAACUUACCAAAUUCAAGGCCUUGUUUUUAUAGGGAACAACCUCUGUACAUUUUUUCAAGGUCAGAUCUAUUUGGGUCUUUUGGUUAAACUCAUAUCAUCUGUUAG